GUCCUACAUCUCUCUACUAUACAAGCAAGAAUGGCAUCACUGAAGGCUGAGAGACCUGUUGGUACAUCGAGCGUUUUUGGCCAAGCCGCCAAGGCUACUGACGGAGCAACCAAAGGCCAAACUGCCAAACCGGCAGCUAAAGCUAGUGAGGGAGCAGCCAAGGGUGCAACUACCAAACAGGCACAUAAAAAGGCUGAACAGAAGCCCCACGAGCCAAAGAAGAAGCAGGGGAAAAGUGGAAAAGCUGCAGCCAAAAAGUAAUAGAAGAAGCAAGGGAGAGAAUGCGAGUGUUGUUUGUUUUCUCGACUAAAA
rnacentral:misc_RNA from 1 species